GACGAACGUUGGCGGCGUGCUUAAUACAUGCAAGUCAACUGAAGCAGAGGUAGUAAUAUCUCUGUGGAGGUGGCGCACGGGUGAGUAACACGUAGGUAAUCUGCCUUCAGGUCUGACACUAACCCCGAGAAAUCGGGGCUAAUAGCAGAUGAUGCAGCGGCUUGACAUCAAGACAGUUGUUAAAGCUUCGGCGCCUGAAGAUGAGCCUGCGCUGAUUAGCUAGUUGGCGAGUAACAGCCCACCAAGGCUACGAUCAGUAGCUGGUCUGAGAGGAUGAUCAGCCACACUGGAACUGAGACACGGUCCAGACUCCGUACGGGAGCAGC
rnacentral:rRNA from 1 species